AAGGCGACGUGUGGGACCGGUUCGUCUGGACACGGGCUGGACUGCGAUCUGUUUCCGCCUUGCAUGCAUUUUGUACACGGCUGGAGGAACUAGUCGGAAAUCGCCUUCUUUCUUUAGGAGAUUUCCUCUUUUCUGGACUCUCGACGCCUGGAGAUCUGUUUCUGCAUCAGAAUGGUGAUGACCGUGGAGCUGUGUUG
rnacentral:lncRNA from 1 species